rnacentral:rRNA from 1 species
UACGGGAGGCAGCGGUGGGGAAUAUUGCACAAUGGGCGAAAGCCUGAUGCAGCUAUGCCGCGUGUAUGAAGAAGGCCUUAGGGUUGUAAAGUACUUUCAUCGGGGAGGAAAAACAAAACUAAUAAUUUUAUUUCUUGACGUUACCCGAAAAAGAAGCACCGGCUAACUCCGUGCCAGCAGCCGCGGUAAUACGGAGGGUGCUAGCGUUAAUCAGAAUUACUGGGCGUAAAGAGCACGUAGGUGGUUUUUUUAAAGUCAGAUGUGAAAUCCCUGGGCUUAACCUGGAACUGCAUUUUGAAACUGAAAUACUAGAGUAUCGUAGAGGGAGGUAGAAUUCUAGGUGUAGCGGUGAAAUGCGUAGAUAUCUGGAGGAAUACCUGUGGCGAAAGCGGCCUCCUAAACGAAUACUGACACUGAGGGUGCGAAAGCGUGGGGAGCAAACAGGGAUUAGAUACC